UCCUGCCAGAAGAAAAAAAACAAAAGGGCACAUUAACAGACUUUUGCCUUCAGUGAUCCCAUGAUAAUCUUCUGCCUCUGUUUACUGACAGGGUCUUCUUACCAUGUUCUUUGUCUCCUUUUCCCCCACUGGCUUCCUCUUCAACACAGGGCAUUUCCAACGUUAAGUCCUGCACAUCAUCAACAACAGACUCCUAAUAAAGAAAGACAUUGAUAUGGAUGUAGAUGGUAAUAUUCAACAUUUUACCUACCUGUGAAUCAGAGAAACCAUCUUCGUCUGAAUUCCUAAAUCCUUCUGGUGCUUCCAUAAGGAUCUCAAGGUCCAGGGUGGACUUGUGUGACUGACUGUCAGUGGUUCUGUCCUCUGUCUCUGCUUCAGCCUGUAAAGAUGUGUCCUGGCUUACAUCUGCCUUUACUUCUUCUGCUGUGACACACACCUGUGUCAUGCCACUGUCAGACACAUCUGCAGUCUCCAAAACACACACAGGAGGCACCGAUGAGACGUCAGGACAAG